ACUGGUCCGUUGCUAGGAUACCAAACAGCAGCAUCCAGACCUAACUGUUUCCAUCUUUGGAUACACACAGAGCUUAUUCUAUAGACAAGAGUGAAGAAAAUACCAGUAAGGGUUUAGUCACCCUUGCAUCAGGAACAAAGUUCUCCUCUUCAUAUGAGUGUGAGUUGUCUUUUAAUCCAAAAGGACUAAUCGCCGUCACAGAUACUUGGGAGAACUGAAAAUGGAGACUGCAUAUCUCAAAAAAUGCCUAGGCAGAUGCUUGGCAGAGGGCCUUGCCAAGGUGGCAGAACGUCGGCCAGCAGACCCAAUCCUGUACUUGGCAUGGUGGAUUUAUAAAUAUCGGAAAAAUAUGGAUGAUGCACUCCACAGGAAACUGGAAAGGGAAGAUCUAGAGCGAGAGCGAGAGGAGGCCAAAAGAGAACUGGAAAUGAUCGAAAGAAUGAAGGAAGAAGAACUUUUGUUUCAGCAGAAGCUUGAAGAAGAGAGGCAGGCACAAAUGGAACGAGAACGGGAAGAACAAGAGAGAUUAGAGAGAGAAAGAGAAGAAGAGCUUCUAUUGGAGCAGAAACUACAAGCAGAGUUGGAGGCAAAGGCAGCUGCUGAGAAAGAGACACCGUCGAAAACCUUAGCUGAGCUGACCGACAAAUAUGGGGCUCCUCAUCUGAGCAGAGUUGACGAGAUAGAUGAAAUUGAACAAUCUGAUCAUGCACUGACUACAGUAGCUGAGACAGAGGAAGGAGAAGAGUCGCCUGUUUGAGAGAUAUCUUUCUCACCUGCAGCUGUUUAUUCCAGAAACUUCAAGGGCUGCUACAGGUGGUGGAAUCGCUUCAAAAGAAAGUUGGAACAAGUUGGCUCCUUGGAAGUAGUUACAAAAUAAAUCUAUUUGGGUGGUGGGCAGAGGGUUGUAGUCGUGCACUGUUAGGAAGAAUUGCAUACAAAGAUGUGUACUGUAUAUCAGGAGAAAGUCACACCAAGAUGCUUCUCAGGUGGGUUACUGCAAUUCUGCUGCUGUUAAUGGCCCAUAUGGAUAUGCAGCU